rnacentral:rRNA from 1 species
UACGUAGGCAGCGAGCGUUGUUCGGAGUUACUGGGCGUAAAGAGUGCGUAGGCGGUGCUCUAAGUUUGGUGUGAAAUCUCCCGGCUCAACUGGGAGGGUGCGCCGAAAACUGGAGUGCUCGAGUAUGGGAGAGGUAAGCGGAAUUCCUGGUGUAGCGGUGAAAUGCGUAGAUAUCGGGAGGAACACCUGUGGCGAAAGCGGCGCACUGGACCACAACUGACGCUGAGGCGCGAAAGCUAGGGGAGCAAACAGG